GACGAACCGUACAAACGUUAUUCGGAAUCACUGGGCUUAAAGGGAGCGCAGGCGGACGGGUCAGUUUAAAGUGGAAUCCCAGGGCUCAACCCUGGACGUGCUUUGGAUACUGCCUGUCUUGAGUUCGUGAGAGGAAAGUGGAAUUCAGGGUGCAGCGGUGAAAUGCUUAGAUAUCCUGAGGAACACCAGUGACGAAAGCGACUUUCUGGCACGAAACUGACGCUGAGGCUCGAAAGCAUGGGUAGCGAACGGGAUUAGAUACCCUUGUAGU
rnacentral:rRNA from 1 species